CCUACGGGUGGCUGCAGUGGGGAAUAUUGGGCAAUGGGCGAAAGCCUGACCCAGCAACGCCGCGUGAAGGAAGAAGGCUUUCGGGUUGUAAACCUCUUUUGUCGGAGAACAAAACCCGGGACGUGUCCCGGACUGCGUGUAUCCGAAGAAAAAGCAUCGGCUACUCCGGGCCAGCAGCCGCGGUAAUACGGAGGAUGCGAGCGUUAUCCGGAUUUAUUGGGUUUAAAGGGUGCGUAGGCGGUCCGUUAAGGCAGCGGUAAAAUUGCGGGGCUCAACCCCCGCGAGCCGUUGAAACUGGCAGACUUGAGUUGGCGAGAAGUACGCGGAAUGCGCGGUGUAGCGGUGAAAUGCAUAGAUAUCGCGCAGAACUCCGAUUGCGAAGGCAGCGUACCGGCGCCAGACUGACGCUGAGGCACGAAAGCGUGGGGAUCGAACAGGAUUAGAUACCCGAGUAGUC
rnacentral:rRNA from 1 species